UACGGAGGGGGCUAGCGUUGUUCGGAAUUCCUGGGCGUAAAGCGCGCGUAGGCGGACCUGUAAGUCGGGGGUGAAAGCCCGAGGCUCAACCUCGGAACUGCCUUCGAUACUGCGGGUCUCGAGUCCGGGAGAGGUGAGUGGAAUUCCUAGUGUAGAGGUGAAAUUCGUAGAUAUUAGGAAGAACACCAGUGGCGAAGGCGGCUCACUGGCCCGGUACUGACGCUGAGGCGCGAAAGCGUGGGGAGCAAACAGG
rnacentral:rRNA from 1 species